rnacentral:lncRNA from 1 species
GAGGGAGUGUAUCUUCUUGAGUGCUAGGUAUUUGUGUAUUUUACUAUUAAAAUAAAAAUAAUAUCUUAAUCAAUUUUGAAAUAAUGGAGAAUAUGAAUGGUUUGGAGUUUUUUUUAUACCAUUACUCAUUUGCAUGUGAGUUUCAUGCUUUAACUUUAUUAUUCAUGUGAUAAUAAGGUGGUUUAAUCAAAUUAUUUUAGUAACAAAAUAUUAACUCUCCCUUCACUCUCCCAC